CCUACGGGAGGCAGCAGUGAGGAAUAUUGGUCCAUGGUCGGGAGACUGCACCAGCCAAGCCGCGUGAGGGAUGAAGGUACAGAGUAUCGUAAACCUCUUUUGCCAGGGAACAAAGGCGGGGACGUAUCCACGGAUGAGUGUACCUGAAGAAAAAGCAUCGGAUAACUCCGUGCCAGCAGCCGCGGGAAUACGGGGGAUGCGAGGGUACUCGGGAUUUAUUGGGUUUAAGGGGUGCGCAGGCGGUCUGUUAAGUCAGCGGGAAAAGCCCGGGGCUCAACCCCGGCCCGCCGUUGAAGCUGGCAGUCUCGAGUUGGAGAGAGGUAUGCGGAAUGCGCGGUGUAGCGGUGAAAUGCAUAGAUAUCGCGCAGAACUCCGAUUGCGAAGGCAGCAUGCCGGCUCCACACUGACGCUGAGGCACGAAAGCGUGGGUAUCGAACAGGAUUAGAUACCCCAGUAGUC
rnacentral:rRNA from 1 species